rnacentral:tRNA from 1 species
GCGGAUGUAGUUUAACGGUAGAAUAUGCGACUGUGGCUCGCGUGACGAGGGUUCGACUCCCCCCUUCCGCU